CCUACGGGGAGCUGCAGUGGGGAAUAUUGCACAAUGGGCGCAAGCCUGAUGCAGCCAUGCCGCGUGUGUGAAGAAGGCCUUCGGGUUGUAAAGCACUUUCAGCGGGGAGGAAGGCGUUAAGGUUAAUAACCUUGUCGAUUGACGUUACCCGCAGAAGAAGCACCGGCUAACUCCGUGCCAGCAGCCGCGGUAAUACGGAGGGUGCAAGCGUUAAUCGGAAUUACUGGGCGUAAAGCGCACGCAGGCGGGCUGUCAAGUCGGAUGUGAAAUCCCCGGGCUCAACCUGGGAACUGCAUUCGAAACUGGCAGGCUAGAGUCUUGUAGAGGGGGGUAGAAUUCCAGGUGUAGCGGUGAAAUGCCUAGAGAUCUGGAGGAAUACCGGUGGCGAAGGCGGCCCCCUGGACAAAGACUGACGCUCAGGUGCGAAAGCGUGGGGAGCGAACAGGAUUAGAUACCCGAGUAGUC
rnacentral:rRNA from 1 species